rnacentral:misc_RNA from 1 species
CAACCCCCAGGCCCUCGUUGCCUGUUGUUGGGGCGUUCAGGGCUGGUCUAACGACCCCCUGAGCCCUGAAAAGCAGUGGCGGGCUCGCCAGGUCACCGAGCGUAGUAAUUUUCUCUCGCUUAGGGGCCCGGCGGGUGCUAGCCGUGAAAACGCAGAAACGCACUUUCUACAGUG